CUGUAGCGAAACGGUAACGCAACUGCCUUGUAAGCAGUGGACUGUCGGUUCGAAUCCGACUG
rnacentral:tRNA from 1 species